rnacentral:rRNA from 1 species
AUGAAGAAGGUUGUGGUGAAGCUGGACGUGAACGACGACAGGCAGAAGGCCAAGGCGCUCAAGGCCGUCUCCGGUCUCCACGGCAUCGACCAGUUAGGCGUGGACAUGAAGGAGCAGAAGAUGACCGUCAUGGGCACGGUCGACCCUGUCGCCGUCGUCGGCAAGCUGCGCAAGCUCUUCCCCGGCGCGCAGAUCUUCUCCGUCGGGCCGGCCAAGGAGGAGAAGAAGGACGACAAGAAGGACGGCGGCGGCGACAAGAAGCCCGCCGGGGACAAGAAGGACGGCGACAAGAAGGAGGGCGGCGACAAGAAAGACGGGGACAAGAAGGACGGCGACAAGAAGCAGCAGGAGGCGAAGCCGGCCGUGCCGGUGUACCCGCCCUACUGGUACCCGAUGCCGCCGCAGCCGCGCUACAUCGUCCACAGCGUCGAGGAGGACCCCAACUCGUGCGUCAUCUGCUGA